AUGGUUGCAAAGCUGAAACUUAAMGGAAUUGACGGAAGGGCACCACCAGGAGUGGAGCCUGCGGCUUAAUUUGACUCAACACGGGGAACCUCACCAGGCCCAGACACUGGAAGGAUUGACAGAUUGAGAGCUCUUUCUUGAUUCAGUGGGUGGUGGUGCAUGGCCGUUCUUAGGUUGGUGGAGUGAUUUGUCUGGUUAAUUCCGAUAACGAACGAGACUCUGGCCUACUAAGUAGUCGACAGAUUUCCGCUUUUAUGUGGUGUCUAGUCGCAAUCUAUCUUCUU
rnacentral:rRNA from 1 species